rnacentral:rRNA from 1 species
UAGGGAAUCUUCGGCAAUGGGGGCAACCCUGACCGAGCAACGCCGCGUGAGUGAAGAAGGUUUUCGGCUCGUAAAACACUGUUGUAAGAGAAGAAUGACAUUGAGAGUAACUGUUCAAUGUGUGACGGUAUCUUACCAGAAAGGAACGGCUAAAUACGUGCCAG